CCACAUCAAGUCCUCUCGGUCUACCUCCUCCAUCAUGUAGCAUGGCUUUGAGCGGCCAGGUGUCCCAGAUUGACAGCGACGGCGGCAUGAGGGUGUGAUAAAAUAAUAAUUAGCAGUAACAUGCACUAAUAUGAGGUUUAGCACCAGGGGUAACUUUAUGCAAUCACACUUAGUAAGUAGCAUUUUCUGUUGCUCUAUGAUUUUUAUGUGGGUAAUGGUGAUCUCUGUACAGACUAUAGAUGAUGUUGAAGUACAUGUCACACUGAAAAAGAACAUGCCUGAGAUAAGGCCAUGGAACCUUCAUGUGGUGCAUACUAGGGA
rnacentral:lncRNA from 1 species